rnacentral:rRNA from 1 species
GACGAACGCUGGCGGCGUGCUUAACAUAUGCAAGUCGAGCGAAGUAUUCAAGAUAGAUUUCUUCGGAUUGAAGUCUUGAAUAUCUUAGCGGCGAACGGGUGAGUAACGCGUGAGAAACCUGCCUUUCACAAAGGGAUAGCCUCGGGAAACUGGGAUUAAUACCUUAUGAUACUUACAUUUCACAUGAGAAGUAAGUUAAAGCGCAAAGCGGUGAAAGAUGGGCUCGCGUCCGAUUAGAUAGUUGGUAGGGUAAAGGCCUACCAAGUCAACGAUCGGUAGCCGGACUGAGAGGUUGACCGGCCACAUUGGGACUGAGACACGGCCCAGACUCCUACGGGAGCAGCAGU